rnacentral:rRNA from 1 species
UUCGACACACUAUCAUUAACUGAAUCCAUAGGUUAAUGAGGCGAACCGGGGGAACUGAAACAUCUAAGUACCCCGAGGAAAAGAAAUCAACCGAGAUUCCCCCAGUAGCGGCGAGCGAACGGGGAGGAGCCCAGAGCCUGAAUCAGUGUGUGUGUUAGUGGAAGCGUCUGGAAAGGCGCGCGAUACAGGGUGACAGCCCCGUACACAAAAAUGCACAUGCUGUGAGCUCGAUGAGUAGGGCGGGACACGUGGUAUCCUGUCUGAAUAUGGGGGGACCAUCCUCCAAGGCUAAAUACUCCUGACUGACCGAUAGUGAACCAGUACCGUGAGGGAAAGGCGAAAAGAACCCCGGCGAGGGGAGUGAAAAAGAACCUGAAACCGUGUACGUACAAGCAGUGGGAGCCUCUUAAUGGGGUGACUGCGUACCUUUUGUAUAAUGGGUCAGCGACUUAUAUUCUGUAGCAAGGUUAACCGAAUAGGGGAGCCGAAGGGAAACCGAGUCUUAACUGGGCGUUAAGUUGCAGGGUAUAGACCCGAAACCCGGUGAUCUAGCCAUGGGCAGGUUGAAGGUUGGGUAACACUAACUGGAGGACCGAACCGACUAAUGUUGAAAAAUUAGCGGAUGACUUGUGGCUGGGGGUGAAAGGCCAAUCAAACCGGGAGAUAGCUGGUUCUCCCCGAAAGCUAUUUAGGUAGCGCCUCGUGAAUUCAUCUCCGGGGGUAGAGCACUGUUUCGGCAAGGGGGUCAUCCCGACUUACCAACCCGAUGCAAACUGCGAAUACCGGAGAAUGUUAUCACGGGAGACACACGGCGGGUGCUAACGUCCGUCGUGAAGAGGGAAACAACCCAGACCGCCAGCUAAGGUCCCAAAGUCAUGGUUAAGUGGGAAACGAUGUGGGAAGGCCCAGACAGCCAGGAUGUUGGCUUAGAAGCAGCCAUCAUUUAAAGAAAGCGUAAUAGCUCACUGGUCGAGUCGGCCUGCGCGGAAGAUGUAACGGGGCUAAACCAUGCACCGAAGCUGCGGCAGCGACACUAUGUGUUGUUGGGUAGGGGAGCGUUCUGUAAGCCUGUGAAGGUGGCCUGUGAGGGUUGCUGGAGGUAUCAGAAGUGCGAAUGCUGACAUAAGUAACGAUAAAGCGGGUGAAAAGCCCGCUCGCCGGAAGACCAAGGGUUCCUGUCCAACGUUAAUCGGGGCAGGGUGAGUCGACCCCUAAGGCGAGGCCGAAAGGCGUAGUCGAUGGGAAACAGGUUAAUAUUCCUGUACUUGGUGUUACUGCGAAGGGGGGACGGAGAAGGCUAUGUUGGCCGGGCGACGGUUGUCCCGGUUUAAGCGUGUAGGCUGGUUUUCCAGGCAAAUCCGGAAAACCAAGGCUGAGGCGUGAUGACGAGGCACUACGGUGCUGAAGUGACAAAUGCCCUGCUUCCAGGAAAAGCCUCUAAGCAUCAGGUAACAUCAAAUCGUACCCCAAACCGACACAGGUGGUCAGGUAGAGAAUACCAAGGCGCUUGAGAGAACUCGGGUGAAGGAACUAGGCAAAAUGGUGCCGUAACUUCGGGAGAAGGCACGCUGAUAUGUAGGUGAAGCGACUUGCUCGUGGAGCUGAAAUCAGUCGAAGAUACCAGCUGGCUGCAACUGUUUAUUAAAAACACAGCACUGUGCAAACACGAAAGUGGACGUAUACGGUGUGACGCCUGCCCGGUGCCGGAAGGUUAAUUGAUGGGGUUAGCGGUAACGCGAAGCUCUUGAUCGAAGCCCCGGUAAACGGCGGCCGUAACUAUAACGGUCCUAAGGUAGCGAAAUUCCUUGUCGGGUAAGUUCCGACCUGCACGAAUGGCGUAAUGAUGGCCAGGCUGUCUCCACCCGAGACUCAGUGAAAUUGAACUCGCUGUGAAGAUGCAGUGUACCCGCGGCAAGACGGAAAGACCCCGUGAACCUUUACUAUAGCUUGACACUGAACAUUGAGCCUUGAUGUGUAGGAUAGGUGGGAGGCUUUGAAGUGUGGACGCCAGUCUGCAUGGAGCCGACCUUGAAAUACCACCCUUUAAUGUUUGAUGUUCUAACGUUGGCCCCUAAUCGGGGUUGCGGACAGUGUCUGGUGGGUAGUUUGACUGGGGCGGUCUCCUCCUAAAGAGUAACGGAGGAGCACGAAGGUUGGCUAAUCCUGGUCGGACAUCAGGAGGUUAGUGCAAUGGCAUAAGCCAGCUUGACUGCGAGCGUGACGGCGCGAGCAGGUGCGAAAGCAGGUCAUAGUGAUCCGGUGGUUCUGAAUGGAAGGGCCAUCGCUCAACGGAUAAAAGGUACUCCGGGGAUAACAGGCUGAUACCGCCCAAGAGUUCAUAUCGACGGCGGUGUUUGGCACCUCGAUGUCGGCUCAUCACAUCCUGGGGCUGAAGUAGGUCCCAAGGGUAUGGCUGUUCGCCAUUUAAAGUGGUACGCGAGCUGGGUUUAGAACGUCGUGAGACAGUUCGGUCCCUAUCUGCCGUGGGCGCUGGAGAACUGAGGGGGGCUGCUCCUAGUACGAGAGGACCGGAGUGGACGCAUCACUGGUGUUCGGGUUGUCAUGCCAAUGGCACUGCCCGGUAGCUAAAUGCGGAAGAGAUAAGUGCUGAAAGCAUCUAAGCACGAAACUUGCCCCGAGAUGAGUUCUCCCUGAGACUUAGAGUCUCCUGAAGGAACGUUGAAGACGACGACGUUGAUAGGCCGGGUGUGUAAGCGCAGCGAUGCGUUGAGCUAACCGGUACUAAUGAACCGUGAGGCUUAACCUU